AACGAACGCUGGCGGCAUGCCUAACACAUGCAAGUCGAGCGAGCAUUUCGGUGCUAUCGGCGUCCGGGUUAGUAAGCCGUGGGAACGUUCCCUUUUCUGCGGAAUAGUUCUGGGACACUGAGGGUAAUACCGCAUACGCCCUAUUGGGGGAUGAUAUAUCGAAGAAGGUUCGGCCCGCGUUGAAUUCGGUAGUUGUUAGGGUAAUGGCACACCACGCCGACGAUGCAUAACUGGUUUGAGAGAAUGAUCAGCCACACUGGGAGUGAGACACGGCCCAGACUCUUACGGGAGGGAGGAGUGGGGAAUCUUAGACAAUGGGGGGAAUGCUGAACGAGCCAGGACGGGUGAGCGAUGAAGGCAGUAAGGUUGUAAAGCGCAUGCAGCUGGGAAGAUAAUGACGGUACCAGCAGAAGAAGCCACGGCUAACUCCGUG
rnacentral:rRNA from 1 species